CUACGGGAGGCAGCAGUGGGGAAUAUUGCACAAUGGGCGAAAGCCUGAUGCAGCAACGCCGCGUGGAGGAUGACACAUUUCGGUGCGUAAACUCCUUUUAUAUAAGAAGAUAAUGACGGUAUUAUAUGAAUAAGCACCGGCUAACUCCGUGCCAGCAGCCGCGGUAAUACGGGGGGUGCAAGCGUUACUCGGAAUCACUGGGCGUAAAGAGCAUGUAGGCUGGAUGACAAGUUGGAAGUGAAAUCCUAUGGCUUAACCAUAGAACUGCUUCCAAAACUGUCUUCCUAGAGUAUGGGAGAGGUAGAUGGAAUUUCUGGUGUAGGGGUAAAAUCCGUAGAGAUCAGAAGGAAUACCGAUUGCGAAGGCGAUCUACUGGAACAUUACUGACGCUCAGAUGCGAAAGCGUGGGGAGCAAACAGGAUUAGAUACCCUAGUAGUC
rnacentral:rRNA from 1 species